AGGAUUGAAAGUGGAAUAACCUGAACUUAGGUCUUGCUUUUCUUUUUGUCCAUUGACUGUGUUCUCUGGGAUAGAUACAUCUAUCACUCUUCAGAGUGAAUCAUGUUAACAUUUGACAGUUAAUUCACUGUAGGCUCAUCCUCUGACUCCUCUGACUAUUGUCUACCUCAAAGCACACCUCUGAAUGACACUUCUUGAAAAUAUUUCAUUAGCAUGAGCAUCAAAAAUUAUUGGUCUAAUCUUCUUUUCUCCAUAGCUUAUAUUUCUCAGCCCCCCUCUGUGUUCUGCUCCCCACCUUCUUUCUUAUAAACAACAUAUACUGACUAUCUGUCCCAUGCAUAUACUGCUUUGCUCUCCACGCCCCACACCUUCUCUACCUCUGGACUGCUGUUGUUGGCUUCUCUAGUUCCUGCCUGACUGCUUCUCAACUCUCUUAGAAAGACUCCAUCAACUGUUCAUCCAUCCCAUGCCUGACAUCCCACUCUCACUGCCAUGGUUCAGAAAGCAGUGGGUGCCCUUUUCUGCAGUUACCCAUUCCCACCGCUGAGCCUUCUACCUGUUGUUCCCUGUGGCCACUCAGACUCCAGCUCCUCCCACAGCUCCUUGGCAUUUGGUCUCCAGUUGCAGCAUAGGUUAAGACCUAUUUCCCUUCAGGGAAUUAAGCUCUCCAGAGGCAACUUGCAACUUGCAAUUGCACAUGUAAAUUAUUUUUCACGCUAAUAGAUUGUUGUCUAUCUAUUUUGAUCCUCAUCAGAUACAAUGUAAUUACCUGGAAGACUGGAUAAACUUGUCCAAACAUGUUUGGACUUCAUAGUCUGCAGGAUUAGACUUCUUGCAAGAUUUCCAAAACUUCCUGGUGCACAGUGUGGAAAUAUUUUAAAAAUAACAUCUUGCAGUAUUUCAGUAUUUCUGUUUCCUCUAUUGGUCAAAAACAGGAAAUGCAGAAGCAUGUGAAUCUCAGGUUUUACUAAACUUCAGAAAAAAAAAAAAAAGUUCAGAGAAAGAGUACUUAAAAAAAGAAAAGACCAGAUUAGAAACCAGUUUCUGUUUUCACCUAAACAAGUUCAUCCGCCUGCUUUAUCCAUCCUUCAAAAACAACACUGACCCGGACUGCUUUGCAUAUUUGUAAUGUGCUGCUGAGAUAAUACACAGAGAGCAGGCAGGUUCCAAAAUAGGCUCAUGUUCCGUGUGUAAUUCUGCCAGUGAACAUCCUGACAAGCAAUUGUUUGUCCUUCUCUCUUUACCAAUGCAAAACAUUUGGUAGUCAGGUUUUAACUUAUUUCCUUCUACAAUGUUACCUAAGGAUACUUCCUAUCAGAAAAGCAUUAUCAUUUAAAAGAGCAUUUCCCCCUUUCGAGAGCUGCCCAUUUAGUGCUAGUUAAUUCAUUACAUAUAUAAAGUUAGAACAGUUUCUUCUCACACGUACCACUGAUCAAUACUAAGUUUCUCAUAGCCCGCCAGCUUUUUUUCCUCCCAUGCUUUAGAAUUAGUUUUUCCUCUUUUUAGUCUUAUCUUGAAAUCUUAUGGCUUCCUACAUUUCAAGAGAAUUUGACCAAGCACUUAUGCAACACUUCAGUCCUGCUGCUCUGAGAUAGAAACCACCCUCAGUAAGCUGUGCAGUAGGCACAGGGACAACUGAGGAGCUCUGCAAUUGCUCUGCCUCUCAGUGUUUGUGUGGUUAACACAAUUUUGCCUUCUUCAAAGCGGGAUACAUUUAAGAUCUGACACGGAUUGUGCUGAGGGAUGGUCCAGAAACAACCAGUUCUCCCCUGUCUACCCUAGUAUGAAGGCACUAAAAAGCAUGUGCAUAAAGCUCCUUACAGCAACUUGGAAAUCAGUGACUUCUUAGCUGAAGGUGAUGCCUUUGUGUUUCAAUAGCUUUUCAUGGACUGUUUUCCUCUGACUUGAUCCAAAUACCUUUGAAUCCAUGUGAACAUCCACAAUACCCUGUAGCAAUGAGUAAGAGCAGUUAAGGAAUGGAGAGGAAAACAAGUUUCCAUUUGCUUUCUAUGUACUUCCAUUUGAUUAUUUCAUGCGUUCCCUUUGGCUGCUGCGCUACAGGAAACCACAAACAGUGAUUCCCUACUCACCUGCUUCAUACCAUUUGUGAUUCUGAAGAUUUCCAUUACAUCGCCCUCAGUUAUCUCUUUCCAGGAUGAGAAAUCCCAGUCUAUUCCUACUUGCUCCUGCACAAGCCUUGCUUCUCUGUAUUUUGUCUUGUUCUCCCCUAAGGCUGGGGAUGAGUGGGCUGGGAGAUCAAAACCACAGACAGUUUUCAGGAUGCUCACACAUACAUAUUUACUAAGCAGCAAAACGAUCCACAUUUUAUACGUAAAGUCAGGACUGGUUUUGAAGUCCAUGUGCACAAAUUUAUAUUUUUUAAGAUGAACCUUCCUUUCAGCAUUUUACUUCAGUCACUUGGACUCAGGACCUCCUUCUGCAGUUCCUCACAUUCAGUUUGUUUUUAUUUUCCUGAAAAGCACACCAACACCAUGCUUUGUCACCAUAGCAUCUACACCUCUUCUAAAUCAUUUAAAAAUAAAUAAUGACAUACAAAUAAGUCUCUGGGAGACCUCACUAGAAAUAGUUUUCUAUUUAGAAAAUGUACGAGUCACUCCCACACAGAUUUGCAAUGGAUGGCUUCUUGUCACAUAUGGAGUGCAUACGUGGGUCCAAUUCUGUCUCUAUGCUAGUGCUGCUGCUCUGAUGCACCUGAAAGUAGAAUCUGAUCCUCUGCUGAGAUACACACAGCAGAAUAUGGUUGCUUUACCACUGAAGUAACUGGGUGUUGAUAUUUCAAAUAUAAGCAUUUUCGAGUGUCAUUAGUAGUGUUGCCUUUUGAAAACUGCAUUAAGUGGAUUGUGAUGAGGAAAUGUGCCCUCACUCAGAGACAACAGUAAUCAACAAUGCUCAGUCGUCAACAAAACAUUUAUGUGGAAGUGAGCACAGUUUUAUCCCUUGAUCCAGCCUGACUUUUUGAAACAACAUCUUAAUGACACAGACAUGAAACAAACCAACAAAAAGAGCAAACAGAAACACAUGGUACUGAAGCGAUUAAUAAAAUACCUUUAAAAGAACAUUGCAAAGUUUUAGAAAAUUUCUUGCACACAGAACUUGUCAUCUGGGCACGGCUUGAACAUCUGAAUGUGAAUUCCGAAGUUAACUUCUUUCUCUGUAAAAAGCACCAGCAUGGUUUUGAAUGAAAUACAUUUCCAACCACAGGCAAGGCUUUUAGGAAAAAACACUCCAUCUUACAUAAUUGAUGGCAGCAGCUAAUAUUGGUCUCAUUAUUAUUGUCAUUUAAUUAUAGUGCAAUUCUCGUCAAUAUUUUUUGAAUGUAAUUUUACAAGUUAUAUGUCAUUUGAUAGUAUCACAAAAUGUGCCGUUAUCCAAGCAAUUGACAGCUACGCUGUUUAAAAAAACAUUGCCUGCCCAAGAGCAUGAUUUAUACAGAUGUGCAAUGAGGGACUAAUGCAAAAUGCAUUUUUACUAAAUCACUG
ensembl:lncRNA